rnacentral:rRNA from 1 species
UGGGGAAUAUUGCACAAUGGGCGCAAGCCUGAUGCAGCCAUGCCGCGCGUAUGGAGAAGGCCUUCGGGUUGUAAAGUACUUUCAGCGGGGAGGAAGGCGAUAAGGUUAAUAACCUUGUCGAUUGACGUUACCCGCAGAAGAAGCACCGGCUAACUCCGUGCCAGCAGCCGCGGUAAUACGGAGGGGGCAAGCGUUAAUCGGAAUUACUGGGCGUAAAGCGCACGCAGGCGGUCUGUCAAGUCGGAUGUGAAAUCCCCGGGCUCAACCUGGGAACUGCAUUCGAAACUGGCAGGCUAGAGUCUUGUAGAGGGGGGUAGAAUUCCAGGUGUAGCGGUGAAAUGCGUAGAGAUCUGGAGGAAUACCGGUGGCGAAGGCGGCCCCCUGGACAAAGACUGACGCUCAGGUGCGAAAGCGUGGGGAGCAAACA